rnacentral:sRNA from 1 species
UCGUGUUUAAUUAAAAUGGAGCCUAGAA